GAUGAACGCUGGCGGCGUGCCUAAUACAUGCAAGUCGAGCGAACGGACGAGAAGCUUGCUUCUCUGAUGUUAGCGGCGGACGGGUGAGUAACACGUGGAUAACCUACCUAUAAGACUGGGAUAACUUCGGGAAACCGGGGCUAAUACCGGAUAAUAUUUUGAACCGCAUGGUUCAAAAGUGAAAGACGGUCUUGCUGUCACUUAUAGAUGGAUCCGCGCUGCAUUAGCUAGUUGGUAAGGUAACGGCUUACCAAGGCAACGAUGCAUAGCCGACCUGAGAGGGUGAUCGGCCACACUGGAACUGAGACACGGUCCAGACCCCUACGGGAGGCAGCAGUAGGGAAUCUUCCGCAAUGGGCGAAAGCCUGACGGAGCAACGCCGCGUGAGUGAUGAAGGUCUUCGGAUCGUAAAACUCUGUUAUUAGGGAAGAACAUAUGUGUAAGUAACUGUGCACAUCUUGACGGUACCUAAUCAGAAAGCCACGGCUAACUACGUG
rnacentral:rRNA from 1 species